AUUCCAAACCAAGUCUUGAUAUUUUAACAAUUUUCUAAGUUGAUGUACCAGUUACAUGUAUAUGAAAGUCAACUUUGAGGGUGCAAGUAUAUGCCAGCAAUUAUAUAUCCUGAGUGGUGAUAGAAAUUGCUAAUGUUAGUCUAGCAUUUAUUUAAAAGUUUUAUUGAAAUUGUCAAUUUCAUAAUUUUAUUAGCCCCCCCCCCCUCCAAACACCAUAUCUAGAUUAUGAACCUACAAGACAGUACAUGUAUGUACCGUACAUAUCAUAUUCAAAUAUUUAGUUUACCGGUAUGUACAUACUAACAUUUUUAAGUGACUCAAUAGUUUGUUGUUUUAUUUGAAUGUUUUAUCUUGAUUUACCUGGAUAAAACGUUGACUUUGUGAUUCCCUAUAUUGUGAUUGUAUAAUAAACUCAGAGAAUAUAACUCUAUCCAUU
rnacentral:misc_RNA from 1 species